GACGAACGCUGGCGGCGUGCUUAACACAUGCAAGUCGAACGGAAAGGCCCUGCUUGCAGGGUACUCGAGUGGCGAACGGGUGAGUAACACGUGGGUGAUCUGCCCUGCACUUCGGGAUAAGCCUGGGAAACUGGGUCUAAUACCGGAUAGGAGCCAUUUUUAGUGUGAUGGUUGGAAAGUUUUUUCGGUGUAGGAUGAGCUCGCGGCCUAUCAGCUUGUUGGUGGGGUAAUGGCCUACCAAGGCGGCGACGGGUAGCCGGCCUGAGAGGGUGGACGGCCACAUUGGGACGGGGUACGGCCCCGACUCCCACCGGGGGGAACAGUGGGGAAUAAUGGACAAUGGGCGCAAGCCUGAUGCAGCGACGCCGCGUGGGGGAUGACGGCCUUCGGGUUGUAAACUCCUUUCGCUAGGGACGAAGCUUUUUGUGACGGUACCUAGAUAAGAAGCACCGGCUAACUACGUG
rnacentral:rRNA from 1 species